AGUCUGCAACUCGAGUGCAUGAAGCUGGAAUCGCUAGUAAUCGCGAAUCAGAAUGUCGCGGUGAAUACGUUCCCGGGUCUUGUACACACCGCCCGUCACACCAUGGGAGUCGGGAAUGCCCGAAGCCGGUGACCCAACCUUAAGGAGGGAGCCGUCGAAGGCAGGCCUGGUAACUGGGGUGAAGUCGUAACAAGGUACC
rnacentral:rRNA from 1 species